UGUCCAUACAGCAGGGGCCGAGAAAUCUGCCUCAAACAAUGGAAAGCCACCGAUGGGUUUUACAUAGUUAUUCACUUGAGUGGCAGAAACUGCCCUUAGCAGGAGGGACUCAGUAGUGGAAACAAAGUCUUGUUCCGAAGAAACUACCAGUGGAGGAAGUGGAUGGAACAGACACACCAAUAAACAGAGUGAACAUCAACUGGGGAUAAAGUCUACAGAAAAGUAAAGCAGGCCAAGGGAAUUGCGCCGUGUUUGACAGCGCCUGUUGAGCCAGGGAGAAAAUUGAAGCCCAGAGAUGGAAAGACCUUCCUGUGCACAGCUGGCGAUCAGCAGCAUUGGAAUCGAACCCAAGUAACUCAGUCCCAGAGUCUGGACCCUGGAGUUCUGUGUCAAGUCAUGCCUGACGCCAGAAGACACACACUAAAGCCACAGGCCUGCACUCUGUGAACUCUGAGAUGGGAAGACGUCCACGAGAAGAAGCUGCGUUUCAUGUUGUUCCUGGAAGACUGACACAAAAGUAAAAUAAAACAUUUUUUAAAAGAUCAACUAUUUCAUCAGGGGAG